UGACGUCAUAAGAUCCGCCAUAUUGCCCGAGCGAGGGUGUGCCAAAGUUUGGCCGGUUACGAGAAAAACAUCGGGCAUCAAGCUGCCCGUGGACUACUACAACACACAUGGGACAUUGAGACCACACUAGUUGCUGAGUCUGCAGGAAGAGAUAACGUGAAUCCACUGUAAGGACCGACGGACCGACCACUGUGUAGCCGGCGGGGGUUGUCACCUAGUAUGCAAGAUGGCGACCCUAUCGCUCAAGAUCAGCGUUGUGGGGAGCAACAUCGUCAAGACGAUGCAGUUCGAGCCGUCCACCAUUGUCUAUGAUGCAUGUAGAAUCAUCCGAGAAAGAAUCGCCGAAACCAUACAAGGAAACCACACUGACUUUGGACUUUUUCUGGCUGACGAGGACCCAAAGAAAGGAGUAUGGCUGGAGCAAGGUCGCAGCUUGGAGUACUACCUGCUGCGGAAUGGGGAUCUGCUGGAGUACAAGAAGAAGCAGCGUAUCCUGAAGGUGCGGACGCUGGACGGGGCUCUGAAGACCCUGCAGGUGGAUGACAGCCACACCGUGGGGCAGCUCAUGAUCACCAUCUGCACCAGGAUGGGUAUCACCAACCACGAGGAGUACUCCCUGGUGCGGGACCUGCCUGACGACGAGAAGGAGAAGACGCUGACGCUGAAGAGAGACAAGUCCAUCGCUAAGGACCAGAAGAAACUGGAGGAGAUGAAGAAGAAGCUCCACACCGAUGAUGAAAUGAACUGGCUAGACCACAGUAAGACACUGAGGGAGCAGGGCAUCGACCCAAACGAGAUACUGCUGCUGAGGAGGAAGUUCUUCUUCUCUGAUCAGAACGUUGACGCCCGUGACCCCGUCCAACUUAACCUCCUCUAUGUCCAGUCCCGUGACGCCCUGCUGAACGGCACCCACCCCGUGAGUCAGGAAGAAGCUAUACAGUUUGCAGGCUUGCAGUGUCAGAUACAGUUCGGGGACCACGUCGACUCCAAACACAGACCGGGCUUCCUCGACUUGAAAGAAUUCCUGCCAAAAGAAUACAUGAAAAUCAAAGGAGUUGAAAAGAAGAUUUACAUUGAACACAAGAAGUGGGCCAGCAUGUCGGAGAUUGAGUCAAAGGUCAAGUACACCCACUUGUGUCGCUCCCUCAAGACCUACGGCAUCACCUUCUUCCUUGUCAAGGAGAAGAUGAGGGGGAAGAACAAGCUGGUACCGAGGCUGCUUGGCAUCACCAAGGACAGCGUGGUGCGUGUGGACGAGAAGACCAAGGAGAUCAUGAAGACCUGGCCUCUGACCACCGUGAGGAGAUGGGCAGCCUCCCCCAACAGCUUCACCCUGGACUUCGGAGACUACUCAGACACGUACUACUCCGUGCAGACGACGGAGGGGGAGCAGAUCUCACAGCUCAUCGCUGGCUACAUCGACAUCAUCCUCAGGAAGAAAAAGGCAAAGGACCACCUCGGUCUGGAUGGAGAUGAAAACUCCAUGAUGAUGGAGGACAACGUACUGCCGGCCAAGGCGACCAUCAUCCAGCACCAGUCCUCCAACGUGUCCCACCCCCAGUCUGGGUCGGUGGCGAUCCCCGCGGUGCUGCGUGACGGGGGGCAGGGGGAGUCCAUGUUCGGGAUGGGCAGCAUGCAGCAGGUGCAGUCCACACACGUGACAAACCUCGCGCACGCUGGACACGCCGCCCCUCAUGGUCAGAACGCCCAGCAGCACGGCCUCAACCAGUCCCAGAAGGCCCUGUUGACCACCAUCGAGGAGGGACUGUCCUCCGUCAACAUGGCCAGGACAGACCUACAACAGAGGGCACAGGUCCCCAAGCUCGGAUCAGACGCGGCCUCCAAGAAGUGGCGUGAGAACCAGCUGGACCUCAACAGACAGAAGGUGGGCUCCCAGCUGUCAGCCAUGAACGCCGCCACGGCACAGCUCGUCACGCUCACCUCCGGCAAGGAGGACGAGAUCGACUACAACGCUGUCGGCUCAGCCGUCCAUCAAAUUUCGUCCAACCUGGGUCAGUUCAGCCGGGAUGUGAAGAUGGUGGCUGCCCUACAGGAAGAGAACAAUGACAAACUGCUGGACGCUGCACGACGCCUCGCCGGCGCCUUCUCCGACCUUCUCAACGCUGCAACGCCCGCCAAUGUGGAGCCGCGCCAGAACCUGCUAGCAGCUGCCAGCAAGAUCGGGGAGGCCAGCCAGGAGGUCAUGGAUGAGGUCGGCGAGACCACUGAGGACCUGGACAGAGUCUUCCAGGACACGCUCCUGUCACUGGCUAAGGCAGUGGCUAAUGCCACGGCGGCGCUGGUACUGAAGGCGAAGAACGUGGCCUCCAAGACGGAGGACCAGGGUCUGCAGAACAGGGUCAUCAGCUCCGCCACGCAGUGCGCCCUCGCCACGUCCCAGCUGGUGGCCUGCACCAAGGUUGUGGCGCCCACCAUCGGGAACCCGGCCUGCCAGGAACAGCUGAUCGAGGCCGCCAAGCUCGUCGCCAAGUCCGUGGAGGGCAUCGUGGAGGCAGCACAGUCGGCAUGUAAGGACGACCACCUGCUGCAGGAUCUGGGCGGCGCCGCCACGGCCGUCACCAAGGCCCUCAAUGACCUCCUGCAACAUAUCAAGAAGGCCGCUGUGCCUGUCAGGGCCAGUGAGCAGCAUGAGGAGGCGGUGGACCAGAUCAUCACCGUCACAGACAACCUGUUCAGCAGUGUGGGCGACGCCCACGAGAUGGUCAAGCAGGCCAGACACCUGGCCCAGGCCACGUCCCAGCUGGUCAGUGCCAUCAGGAACCAGGCUGAGACCAACACCGACUCCGACGUACAGAAGCGUCUCCUAGCAGCAGCCAAACAACUAGCUGACGCUACAGCCAAACUGGUGGAGGCGGCCAAGGGCUGUGCCUCCAAUCCCAAUGACUCCGACCAGCAGCAGAUUCUCCGGUCCGCGGCAGAGGAGUUGCGCUCCGCCACCAACGCCGCUGCCAGCAACCAGCUGAAGAGGAAGCUGAUCAACAGGCUGGAGAAUGCCGCCAACCAUGCUGCUGCUGCCGCCACCCAGCUCAUCAACUCCUCCUCCCUCGCCAACAAGACGAACCGUAACGCCACCACGGAGGCCCAGCUCCGACAGCAGUGUGAGGCUGUGAAUGAGGAGAUACCUCCCCUGGUACACGCUAUCCGAGCCUCCCAGCGCAGUCAGGACAGCGCCACCGCACAGCUGUCUCUCAUCAACGCCAGCCAGGACUUCAUACAGCCGGCCAGCAGGAUGGUAGCUGCUGCCAACGCCGCCGCUCCAACAGUGACGGACCAGGCUGCAGUCCUCAACCUCCACAACAGCGUCAAGGCCAUGACAUCAGCACUCGCAGAACUCAGGACAGCCUCAUCGAAGGCCCAGGAGGCGUGUGGCACACUGGAGGUGGAGUCCGCCCUGGACCAGGUGCAUGGACUCAACUACCAGCUGGACGAGAUCAAGAAGGCAACAAACGAAGGACGCCUCGUCCCCCUGCCUGGAGAGACGGCUCAGUCAGCUGCUCUCCAGCUGGGAACUACGUCCAAGACGGUCGGCUCCUCCAUGGCACAGCUGCUCACAGCUGCAGCUCAGGGUAAUGAAGACUAUGUUGGUAUCGCUGCUCGGGAUACGGCCAACGCACUGCGGGUGUUGACGUCAGCAGUGCGCGGUGUUGCUGCAACCACCACGGACAGGCAGGUCCAGCACGCCAUCAUCGAGUGUGCCCAGGACAUCAUGGACAAGUCUGUCAUCCUUCUGGAGGAGGCCAAGCGGGUGAUGCGGGACCCCAGCAACCCCGAGAACAUACAGAGGCUCAACCAGGUAUCCAAGAGUGUGUCGAACGCCCUCAACAACUGUGUGAACUGCCUGCCAGGUCAGAGAGACGUGGACGCCGCCCUCAGACACAUCACCGCCUCCAGCCAGACUCUCUCCUCCCCUCGGUUCCCCGGGACGGGCAAGUCGUACCAAGAUGUUCAGGUCGACAUGAACAACGCAGCAGUGGGCUUGAACCAGGCGGCCAGCAACAUCGUGACGUCAUCCCGCGGCACCCCCCAGCAGCUGGCGAUGUCCUCCUCCCAGUACGGACACUCCUACCAGGAGUUCGUGGACACCGGACUCACCAUGGCCGGACUCUCCAAGGACGUGGAGACACAGAACCAGAUCGUGGGUGGCCUCAAGAGCGUGUCCAUGGUGUCCAGUAAGCUACUGCUGGCAGCCAAGUCCGUCUCGGCCGACCCUAAUGCCCCCAACGCCAAGAACCUCCUGGCCCAGGCUGCAAGGGCGGUGACGGAGAGCAUCAACCACCUCAUCAACAUCUGCACCGUGUCCGCCCCCGGACAGAAGGAGUGCGACAACGCCCUGCGCCAGAUAGAGAUGAUGCACAAUCUCCUUGACAACGCCAACGAGCCAAUCAGUGAUGCCCCGUAUUUCGAGUGCCUUGAUGGAGUUAUGGACAAAUCAAAGAGUCUGGGAGAAGCCAUGACAGGAAUCUCCCAGCAUGCCAAGAGAGGAGACAUUGAUGAGUUCUGUGACUCUGUGAGGAAUUUCGCCAACUCCGUGUGUGGACUGACAGAAGCCUCUGGGCAGGCUGCCUACCUGGUAGGUAUCGCUGACCCUGCCUCGGAACCCGGCCGGCCCGGCGUUGUGGAUCAGUCCCAGUUCUCCCGGGCCAACCAGGCCAUUCAGAUGGCCUGCCAGAACCUCACCAACCCUGCCAGCUCACAACAGCAGUACUACGAGUCAUGGGCUGUAAGAUCUAUGGCUGUUGUGCGCCUCCCAUCCCGAGAGCAGGUGCUGUCUGCCGCCACGGUCGUCGCCAAGCACACGUCCGCGCUGUGUAACGCCUGCAGACUGGCCUCCUCCAAGACGACCAACCCUGUUGCCAAGAGACAUUUUGUACAGAGUGCCAAGGACGUGGCUAACAGCACUGCCAUGCUAGUCAAGGCCAUCAAGGCCCUGGACAGUGACUUCACAGACCACAACCGGCAGCAGUGUGCAGAAGCAUCUCGGCCUCUCAUCAAUGCAGUGGAGGAACUCACCACCUUCGCCUCAUCACCGGAGUUCGCCAGUAAACCCGCCAAGAUCAGCCACCAGGCACGGCGUGCCCAGGAGCCCAUCACGAUGUCGGGCAAGGCGAUGAUCGAUGGGGCGUGUCAUAUGCUGCAGGCCGCCAAGCAGCUGGCCAUCAACCCCCGCGACCCCCCCACAUAUCAGCUGUACUCCAACCACUCCAAGAGCGUGUCCGACGCCAUCAAGAGACUCGUAUCAGCCAUCAAGGACACUGCCCCAGGUCAGAAGGAAUGUGACACUGCCAUCGACAAGCUGAACCACACAAUCCGCGACCUGGACCAGGCCUCCCUGGCGGCCAUCAGCCAGAACCUGGGCCAGCGCAAUGACAAGACUCUCAAGUCCUUCCAGGAGCAGAUGAUCAACAGCGGCCGCGAGAUCCUGGACACCAUCGAGGCCAUCCAGCGGGCAGCCAAGUGCAAGCCAGAGAACCUGGGACACCUGAUCAACACCAUGUCCUCCUACUUCGAGCCUCUCUCUGACGGGGCUAUCGGGACAGCCUCCAAGAACCUCAACUCCAAGCAACAGAUGAACGUCCUCGACCUGUCCAAGACAGUUGCGGAGUCAGCUCUUCAGUUCCUCUACGCUUGUAAGGAGAGCGGUGGAAACCCCAAGGCGAUGCAGGCUCACGGCAACGUGGACGGAGCGGCGGAGGACAUGAAGGACGUCCUCCAGGACCUGCUGCAGACCAUCGAGGAGGCCGCCUCCCAGUCUGGCGCCGUCAGCAGCAUGAUCGACAGCAUCAGCAAGUCCAUGGCACGGACUGACGAGAUUAUCGCCACGGAGGGAACAUCGUUUGUGGACUACCAGACCAACAUGGUGCGCCUGAGUAAACAGAUUGCCCGGUCAGCACAGGACAUGAUCGGCAAGUCCACCACCAACGUGCAGGACCUGGGGCAGCUGGCCAACCUGUUGACCCGGGACUACAGCCAACUCUCCAACAACUCCCGCGGAGCCGCCGCCGCCACCAACAACCUCGAAAUCGGCAACCGGAUCCGGACGGCGGUGCAGGACCUGGGCCGGAGCUGUGUGGAGGUGGUGCAGGAUGCUGGCAACCUCCAGGCCAACCCCACCGACUCCUACGCCAGGAAGGACCUGUCAGAACACGCCAAGAGCAUCUCAGAGAAGGUCUCCUUCGUCCUGGCAUCCCUCCAGGCCGGGUCUCGUGGCACACAGGCCUGCAUCAACGCAGCGAGCACCGUCAGCGGCAUCAUCGGCGACUUGGACACCACCAUCAUGUUUGCGACAGCCGGAACCCUCAAUGCUGAUGGCUCUGAAUCCUUUGCUGAUCACAGGGAGAGCAUCCUGAAGACAGCCAAGGCCCUGGUUGAGGAUACUAAGACUCUGGUUGCCGGGGCAGCAUCCAAUCAGGAACAGCUUGCGGCAGCUGCUCAGACAGCUGUGAAGACCAUCACGAGACUCGCUGAUGUGGUUAAGCUGGGGGCAGGAUCGCUGGGGUCUGAACAGCCAGAAGCACAGGUCCUCCUGAUCAACGCCGUCAAGGAUGUCGCCUCCGCUCUGUCCGACCUCAUCAGCGCGACCAAGAACGCCUCGGGGAAGAGUGUCAACGACCCCGCCAUGCUACACCUGAAAGACUCGGCUAAGAGGUCAAGAGUAAUUGACUCUGCCGAUGUCAGGUUUUUACGUUCUUUGUUCGCAUGAAGUGCGUGUGCGUCGUAGCCGCCUGUCCGAGAAACGGUCGGCCGGCUAUUGCACUUCAGUGUCUGUUGUGUGGGAUAGACCUGUCUUUGUUGUGUAUGCUUACCUGGUUCCAUCAUCUAGAUCAGAAUCAUUAACAUCAUUACAUUUGUUGAUAACCAAUACCAAAGAAUAUUCAAAAGUGCCUUGAAACUUUGUUAAAUGAUUAACUGCACUUGUUUGCCAGUUCAGCACCUGUAGAGUAACCUCCCCUUAGAAUGGAACAUUAGAGUUACCCCCCUUUAUGAAUGGUUGUCGUCCUUCAUAUUAGUGAACAUCAUGCCUGAUUGGCUGAAAUCAUUGAUGCUGCCUUUUCAUUGGUUGUUAAUAUGCACUGGAGCUGAGGAUUGCAUGGUGUUAGAGCACAUAGUCAGACAUAACAGCUCGCCUAGAGAUUCAGUAGCCAUGUCACAGAACUGCACUGUUUAACAGAGGGCAAUCACAGUCAUACUAUACUCCAGCAACUGAAACGUUUAAGCAGAGUUUUAACAAAGUGGGCUUUGGAAAAGUCAGAUUUUAAGAAGUGUAUUCUGAGCCUCUUUUUGAGGUGGGAUCCAGAAAUUGGUUGGGGAACUUCCGUCACAUUAAGUAGUUAUACCCAAGAAGCAAGAAAAUAUUUAUGAACUUCAUUGAAAUAUGUAUCUGUUUUUUAUUUUCAAAAUAUUUUGUAGUCCAUUUUUUAUUUUUUUAAAUAAAUUAGAAUUACCGACAGAUUGACUGGAUAGAAACAUUUCAGUUUCAACAUAGAGCAUGAGGUACGUAAGCCUUUGUUGGUGUUUGCAUGAUUUGUGCUGAGUUUAUUUAAAAAAUCAUCCAAAAAUAUUUUUAUUGUAUAUGAUUAUCAACCACCCAAGAAUGUAAGUGUUAAAGUUUUUUGUUAUUUUUGUCCAUAUUUAAAAUAUUGAUAUUCCUACCAGUGUUCAGUAAACUUGUGGUUGUGUACUAUAUACUUGGAGCUGAAUGUCUCAGAUAACGUAUAUAGCUGUAUACAGAAUAUCAUACAUAUCAUUUGUGUAGAGACAUGUCAUGUUAUAUUUGCCUGUGACAUUGUGACAUUUUCGUCUAGAAAUAACAUUCAUCGCAGUGUGAAAGUACUUUUUUUCCCAAAAUAUUUGUCAAUUAAGCCACAAAUUACCUAAAAUAUGUCUCUAAUUGAUGUCCCACUUAAAACCAUUCUUGAACUAAAUUUCAUCUUUGUGUUGUUUGUUAAAUACCGAGGUGUAAGUCAGUAUAUUUGAUAUAAAAGUUUGUAAGCAGUUGUUCAUUUUUAGCCUAUUUUUCUGACUAUUGAGCUAAGUAUUAUUUGUGUAAGUCAGUAUAUUUGAUAUAAAAGUUUGUAAGCAGUUGUUCAUUUUUAGCCUAUUUUUCUGACUAUUGAGCUAAGUAUUAUUUGUGUAUUGUCAUGUAGAAAUAAAUAAACACUGUCCGUGCUU
rnacentral:misc_RNA from 1 species